GGGUUGUGAGGUUAAGCGACUAAGCGUACACGGUGGAUGCCCUGGCAGUCAGAGGCGAUGAAGGGCGUGCUAAUCUGCGAUAAGCGCCGGUAAGGUGAUAUGAACCGUUAUAACCGGCGAUACCCGAAUGGGGAAACCCAGUGUGACUCGUCACACUAUCAUUAACUGAAUCCAUAGGUUAAUGAGGCGAACCGGGGGAACUGAAACAUCUAAGUACCCCGAGGAAAAGAAAUCAACCGAGAUUCCCCCAGUAGCGGCGAGCGAACGGGGAGGAGCCCAGAGCCUGAAUCAGCAUGUGUGUUAGUGGAAGCGUCUGGAAAGGCGCGCGAUACAGGGUGACAGCCCCGUACACAAAAGCGCAUGUGCUGUGAGCUCGAUGAGUAGGGCGGGACACGUGGUAUCCUGUCUGAAUAUGGGGGGACCAUCCUCCAAGGCUAAAUACUCCUGACUGACCGAUAGUGAACCAGUACCGUGAGGGAAAGGCGAAAAGAACCCCGGCGAGGGGAGUGAAAAAGAACCUGAAACCGUGUACGUACAAGCAGUGGGAGCCCCACCACCAAAGCAUUUGCUGUACC
rnacentral:rRNA from 2 species